GGUUUCUCGACUUCUGUCGAGGAGAUGGGGCAACGUCAAGAACGACGGGUUGUCCAGUCUAAGGCAGGGGUUUGGUGAAUCAGUCCGGCAGCUAAGACGUAGGCCCAGCUUCCAGCCACGGCUUCUACGAUUUUAAGAACUACGUGUCUUCUUGAGAGCGAGCAGCUCACAUGGCGUCAUCUCAAUCUUCAUUGAUCUCUCGCUCUAUCAAUCUCUACCCGUCGAUUUCUCAAACUCUCUCCUUCAUAGCAAGCAGCUCACACGGCCUCGUCUAUUUGACAAUUUAUCUGCAAUCACACGGCAUUGUCACUAAAGUUCUGUUUUCUUGUAGCGUGACUGGUUAUUAUAAUGGUGCAUCUGUUGUGGGUGUAUUGUUCUCUUCCAGAAAUAGUCUGGCAACUAAAAUUAAAUUUUGAAGCAAGUCGAGGGUUGUCAAAA